UCGCCAUUUUAUGCUAAUCUCUCUCUUUUGCGUUUUCAUUUUCCCGUUGUCCUGUGUGGUGUUCAUUAAUAGCGGCUUGCACAUCUCCUUUCGUCCCGCAAUUGCUCUCCACAUUUCGGCCAGGCGCGGCGUCCCCAAGGUGAAGUACCGUUAACUUGAGACUGCCCAGGACCAGCUGGAUCUUACGCACAUAUUUUACAUGUGUGUAGAAGUGCUUGUAGAAAUACACAUAUUUUACAUACUUGGGUAAUCUGAAGACAGAAAACUAUAAAAAAAAACCAUUAUAAAGAUGAUAAAAAAUUUCAAAGUUAUAUAGGCUUUGCCACUCAGCCGAUCAGCCGAUCAGCCGAAACAUCCGCUUUCAAAGAAUCUCAAUUUUUUGGAGAAGUUGCGGAAAGUUUUUCGCCAAAAUAUUUGUUUUAAUUAGACUU